GACGAACGCUGGCGGCGUGCUUAACACAUGCAAGUCGAACGGAAAGGCCCUGCUUUUGUGGGGUGCUCGAGUGGCGAACGGGUGAGUAACACGUGAGUAACCUGCCCUUGACUUUGGGAUAACUUCAGGAAACUGGGGCUAAUACCGCUAGGAACUUCUUCUGCAUGGUGGGGGAUGGGAAAUUUCGGCGGUUGGGGAUGGACUGGCGGCUUAUCGGCUUGUUGGUGGGGGAGGGGCUUACCAAGGCUUUGACGGGUAGCCGGCCUGAGAGGGUGACCGGCGACAUUGGGCCUGAGAGACGGCCCAGACGCCUACGGGAGGCAGCAGUGGGGAAUAUUGCACAAUGGGCGGAAGCCUGAUGCAGCAACGCCGCGUGCGGGAUGACGGCCUUCGGGUUGUAAACCGCUUUCGCCUGUGACGAAGCGUGAGUGACGGUAAUGGGUAAAGAAGCACCGGCUAACUACGUG
rnacentral:rRNA from 1 species